rnacentral:rRNA from 1 species
GACGAACGCUGGCGGCGUGCUUAACACAUGCAAGUCGAGCGGAGCGGCGAACGGGCGAGUAACGCGUGAGUAACUGCCCCCCUCCCUGGGAUAACAGUUGGAAACGGCUGCUAAUACCGGAUAGUGGGGGAUGACUCGGGGCCUAUCAGCUUGUUGGUGGGGUAGUGGCCUACCAAGGCGACGACGGGUAGCCGGCCUGGGAGGGCGACCGGCCACAAGGGGCUGAGGUACGGACCAGACGCGUACAGGGGGCAGCAGUGGGGAGUAUUGCGCAGUGGUGGAGAGCGUGAGGCAGCAGCGCCGCGUGCGGAAUGUAGGCCUUGGGGGUGUGAACGGCUUUAAGCCAAGACGCGGUAGUGGCAGAAGAAGCACCGGCUAACUACGUGCCAGCAGCCGCGGUAAUUC